GCAAUAAAAUUUCGGUUCCUUUAAAAGUGGCUUAGCUGAUGUAAAGGACUGCUAUUGCUUAGGUAACGGGGCGUUCCGGCUUUCCAGGGUGGGGAGUCUUCGGGCACGUAUCUGGGUUGUCCUGUUGACGUGGUGAAGACUUUUCAGUGGCUUGCAAGCUGUGAGACGUUACCCUAAUGGCCUUUUCCUGGAUUGCCUCAUUCAGACGGAAGCUUCCACAGCAGUUUGACAUGCUCCUACUAAGGUGAGAGAACUUAAGCUUUAAGAGGUUGCGCAAUUCGCUCAAAUUUGUCCAGCUCAAAGUGCAAUCGUGAAGCCUGAAGAUAUUGGAUGCCUUGGAAGAGGAAUACAGCCUUGGAGGAACAGCCUGGGGAUGGCGUACUAUGACCUUUCACUCCUUCCUAAGCCAAGAAAAGAAAGUGGGUCCAACCGGCUGUUAGAAAACCUUCCCCAAAGGUUUGGAUAAACUGAGUGGUUUCAGGCGCCCUGUGACCCUGCAGGCAGGCUGCAAUGUGGCUGUCCCCGCCAUGGGGAGAGAGUCUUGUUUUCCUCCCCAGCAGAGCUGGGCUGGGGUUUCUGAUAGUGUUUGACUUAGCAAGUCUCCGCAUGAGCCGCUGAUCUGGUGUUGGAACAAAGCAGCAGGGAGGGAGGCCCCGCGUGGAUGAGUCAGGCGGAGACGAGGCCUCGUUUCUUGUUGAACGCUGUCCCCCUCCAGCUAUGUGCUUUUCCCCAACAGCCAAGCUUGGUCCGCACAAGUCUGGGCUGCCCUCUCCCCACCAAGGCAAACCCUGUCAAUAGCAGGAGAGAAAAAAAGGCCACGACUACACGUGAGAAGCUGUGCUUUCAGGGGAGGAUCAAGAGCCCUUCACCUCGCCCAACACUGUUUGCAUUUUGUAGAACAAACACUGGAGUUUAAGUUACAUCCUCGAAUUCAAUAUUUGGCAUGGGAUAACAAUCGCUGGUGACUUCUCCACGUGGUGCCAGCUGGGCCGGGUACCAGGUGAGCAAGACAGGGCCGUUCCCUGUUUUCAAGGAGUUACAGCCUGUGGGGGAGACAGAACAGUACCCAAGCGCUUGGAGUCGAGGAUGGUCAUUGUUACGAGAUGGAGCAAUUUGGGAACAUUUAUAACCAGUGUCUUCCUGGCCACAUCGUAGUAUGACCUUUGGAAAUGCCACUUUCUCGAAUAAUAAAAUGAAGGGAAAAAUUUCCUCUCUUCUACCUACCAAAUGGGACAUUUGGAUAAUUUUCAAGAGAAAAAGAUCUGCUCCCAAAAGUGACACUUUGCUUGUUUAUUCAGCAACUAUUCAUUGAGUAUCUCUUGGAUCCUGGGUGUGCUGUGUAUUGUGAAUAUAGCAAUGCUCAGGGAGAAAAACCCUAGCUAGUUAAUUAUGCAGAAACCCUUCUAUUACAAUUACGUAAACGCGUUCAAGGAAACGCUCAGUUUAUAAGAAGAGUGUGUGCUGGGCAAGUGGCUGUGGAAGAAGUAUGACAUCCUGGGGCUGACGGAUAGUAAGAAGACCCUCUCUGGGACGCCGCUUAUUGCUGCUGGUGCACCAAAGGAGAAGAGAGAGCAAUCUUUGAGCGAGAAGAGAGAAGCAAGCGCAGACAACAUGUGGCUGUUAAGAGCCCAGAGACCUUUUCGUCAGGACGCAGUGCUUCCUUCGGACCACGUGGUCAGAACACCGUUUCUUAAAGUGUGGUCCGUGUACCAUCUACCUCAGAGACCCUGGGAUGCUUGUUAAAUCUGAAGGUUCCCAGACUCAGAUCCACUGAAUCCCAAUGCGGGUGCAUCAGGAGUCAGCAUUCUGAACUAGCUCCCUGGCAAUUUUUACACACUCGAUGAUUUGAGGACUUUUGCACUGAUUUAGAUUCUCGUGUAUGAGACCCUCAAGUGACCUCUGCGCCCUUUCGCUUUUGUCUCUGAAUCAAGUCUGGGAUUACUUCACAGGGAACAUAAAGGAAAGUCACCAGUCAGGCAUUUGGAAGCAGCGAGGAGCCAACCUCAUUCUAGGUGAAAUUGAAAUCUUCACAGUGUGGAAAAAAGUGGAAAGAGAACUGAACUGGAAACCGUAACUUUUGUUUGAGUUUGGCUCUGUCACUCACUAUGUAUGGCCAUGGAAAGUAAUUUCUCCUCUCUCGUUGUUUGCUUGUUCAUAAAAUGAUAGCAUUUUCCAAACUUCAGUCAACAGAGUACCACCUUCAAAAUUGCAUCACCUGUGCUGUUAGAAAUAUUUUUCUUUUAAUAAUUACUUGAGUUUAAUUUGAAAAGGAGCUUUAUAUCAUUACUAUAAAUGGAGAACCAAUCAUCACUUACUAUAAUUAGAAAGUCAUACCUGUAAAAUAUACAACAAUUAAAAAAUUUAGG